rnacentral:ncRNA from 1 species
ACCAGGGGCCCUGAAACGGGCCUCCGGGCCGUGCUCCAGACCAACGAGCCGACCCGUGUUGUGUAGCCCAAAAGGCAGUGCGACGAGGUUGCGACUGGAACGAGGUUGUCCUGAGGGACGGGGAAGCACCGCGAAACUGGCAGACGAAACUUCACCCCUAUUCGUGCGUCAAGGCAUCCACGAGCCGAAAGCGCCACGGGUAGCGAUCACCGAAGCCGCCUGCACCGUUC